AAUUAGCUCUCGCUUCACCCUUCUUGAAUUGGGGUUGAAAUAGCUUCAGAAAUGAGUUGGAUUGAGUUUUGGAGGCCCAAAAUUGGCCCCAGCGAUUUG